rnacentral:lncRNA from 1 species
CCGCUACCCAGGUCUAUAUACCACACAUUCUCUUUCAAAAGGCUGCAAUGCAACCCACAAAGCUGCAGGAACAUGUUGAAACUGACGAGUUGGACAAUGUUGUUCAAAACAAGUCAGAAUUUGAUGAUUCCCAUGAUCAGAUUUUGAGCACUCAAACCAUUUUGGAUACAGGGCAGUCUAUUGAUAAAAAAGUUUUGGUUGUUGAAAGAAAAAAGCCAACAGUAGAGGCCAUCAAAUUUCAAGAAUGUUGGGGCCAAUUUUAUGAGCAUGCUAAAUUCUAUAAGGGCAAGCAUGAAGAACUUAACGGCAGCCCAAUCCUUUGUCAAAGAUUUGACCAGUACAAAAAUUGUGGGAAUUAAAUACAAGGUUCAAGGCAGCUCAAUGAAAACAUAAACUUCACUGGAAACAGCCUUAUUUGAUUACGAAAAUUCAUUCACAUGGAAGGGCAAAUAUAAAGGAUUCAACCACUGAAUUGAAACAUAUAAUUGAUAAACAUCAGCUCAUUCCAUACCUACUUUUACCCUCUGAUGCUGCCAAUGAAUGGUUGACUCUAAAAGAACAAAUCAUGUGAUCAUCAGAUUCUUUCAAAUCUGUCUAGUUAUAGACGUUAACUAAAGCACUAAUUGGAAGGCAACCCAAUUUUUAUAACUCUUUUCUUCUUAUUUGCGUUUAUUUUAUUUUCUUCCUUAUAUUCUUUUUCACAAAAAUAAAAAGAUUAAAAAAAAUUCAGAAAAUUGAAAAACACAAAAACAGAAUUUUUUAAAAGUUAAUAAGUAUUUUAUUUGGAAUUUAUUCUAGUGCAAUUUUAAUUUUGUGAUUUUAUGCAGGUUGAAUUUGAACCAAAUACGGGAAUCGACUGAAUCAUGCAUUCAACAACAUUCAUCCACUCACCUCAGAAUGCAUUCAACCAUCCAUUCAUCACAGCUCUGCAUUCAAGAUCAACGUUAAAGUGCAGAAACAUAAAAGGAAUGCGAACUGGAGUUGAAUUCUGAAAUGCUUACAGUGGGGUUGCUGUGCUGACCUCCAUACCGCUGGACCCUCUUUCACUCACUCUCUCUCACAUUUCAAUAAAAUAGUUGUUUUACAAACAAGCUUGGGGGUUGCCAGCUAUUUACCUUCCUUUUGGAUCUGAAAAUCGUGGACUCUGCGAAAAAGCUUCAGUUCUCUGUCACUCGAGUUUUCCUGCGCACAGAUCAGAGCAUGCAUGUGUUAUUUUUCUCUCCAACUGAGCGGUGCAGAUCAACAGCAAAGAAAUUCGGAUGAGGGUUUACCUUUUGGACUCUCAAAUUUUCAGUAUGCCAGCAACUCCGUUUGCAAGCGUAGUGGACUCAAUGGAACUCGGUGCUGUGCAUUUAGGGGGUGCUUCUGGGUUUUGGCUGAGAAGGCAUCGCGAGGAGUAGAAAUGACUAGGGCUGGGUGUUUCGGUUUUUAUUUUAGGUUUAAGAGAAAAGGAGAGAGCCCUCUUGGUGUUAGGUUUGGAAAUGAAGGUAAUGGGGCUGAAACCUAGUUUGUAUAGACCAACGGUAGGGUUAUUGGCACGAGCGUGCUCGCACGUGAGUGGGCAGAGGCUUUCUCCAUUCCUAUUCCUGCCCCCAGGUCACGAGUUCGAUCCCAGCGCCUGGAAAAUUUGCCUUUCCCCAGCUCCAGGUCCUGUCUUCGAACCCAGGUGCGUCCACUUCCAUUCCCUUUAUUUUAUUUUUCGUUUUGUAUCAUUUUAUAUUUUGUUCUGCUUUGUCUUUUGUUUUAUUUUCGUCUUUCUAUUUCUAGUCAGUUAAGGUGGUUGUUUAUUUUUUAUUUUUUUGUUUUAGUUUAUUUUUUCUGUUCUUCUAUUUUUUGCAUUUCGAGGAUAAUGUGUGAUUUAAGUUUGGGGGUGGGAAAUAGAAUUUUAGGUUUUUAAUUUUUGAGUCAAUAAAAAUUUUCAUUCUUUUUAAGUUAAUAUCCAUAGAUUAUUUUAAACUUUAGAACAAAUGGACAUGGUGAAGGUUAAUCCCACAUUAUAUUCUUUUCUAUUUAUUGUUGCUUAGACACUAAUUCAUGACUUAUACUUUGAAAAUUUGCAUGUUCACACCAACAUGGUUUUGUGGGGGAGUGAGAUUGAAACACUUACUUUUUGACUAAGGGUAUUUUAAUUUUUGUUCUUAGUAAAGUAAAGUUUAGUUUGUGUUAUAAAUAAAGUAAUAAUUGUUCCACCCGAAACUUUGCUUAGUAAUCGGGCUAGUUUUGCCUGAUCAGUAAGUGAUUCUCACGUCAAACAGUAGAGUUCUGGCAUGGGGCAUGGUGGUUAGUUGGUUUCAUAGCCUUUUCAGCUCGAGUUAAUAAGUCCUUAGGUGUUCUACACUUAGUGCCAUAGAGCCUUAGUGGUUUGGGAAUAGUUUUCUAAAACACGGCCUAGGCGGCCGCCUAGGCGCUAGACGGCGGUGCUCCCCCAUGAUUAUGCCGAAAUCGUUUACUAAAUCGGCAAAGCUAUUAGGCGGCAUAAGUCGGACGUCUAGGCGGGCUAAACGGUCGCUGGGCGGGCUAGACGGAAGCUGGACGAUCUGGGCGGCUUGGGAAAAUACGAUAGCCUACCCAGAAGUAGGCAGACACGAGGAAAUCUAGGCAUUGUGUGUCUCGCCGUUUCCUUUAGGUGUGACGAUGGUCUACGAGAGAGAGAGAGAGAGAGAGAGAGAGAGAGAGAGAGAGAGAGAGAGAGAGAGAGAGAGAGAGAGAGAGAGAGAAAGAGAGAGAGUAUGAAUCUGCAAUUGCAGAUAUGGUGAUAAGCAGACAGCGGCAAUGGUUUUUGCUGAGCAGCUUAGAGUUUUCUUUUCAAAGUAAGUCGGUGAUUGGGAAUCGGGAUGCCUAAAUACAAGUGUCUUUGGUUUGUUUUAUUCUAACAGGAUAAUAAAUGGAUUAGUUAGAUGACUUUGGGUUUUUUGUUAGGGUCCAUUACGCCCAUCUAUAAAUGGACUUGACAAUUCUACUCAAAGAUAAGACAAGGAAUACAAGGCCCAACCUUGCAUAUUUUCAUACAUAGAUGUAUAUUAUUUUUUAUUAAGAAAUAACAUAUUAUUCAAUGUUUAUUUACAUAUUAUAUAGUAAAUUUACUUAAAUCCGUCUAACCGUUUAGUUGUUAGGCCCCAAUCCGCCUCGCGACUAGCACCUAACGUUUUUUAGAACCUUUUUUUGGGAGUCAUUGACCUAAAGCUCGUUAUAUGGGUUGGACCGAAAGCUUAAGUGAACUGACAUUGCAAGACCACCACUGUUACUAGAAAAAGAAAAAAAAAUUGAAAAAAAAAAGAAAAGAAAAAAAAGAAGAAGAUCUUUUUGAGGUUAUUAUGUGUGAAGUAGUGAAUAAAGAGGACGAGAGGUAAAGACUUUUAGUCGUGUCUCUUUAACUAUGUUGGUUCACUCUACACCAAAGGAAAUUCAUGAAUUCUUUUCUAAUUGAUUCUAAAUGGCUUAGACUUUGUAGUGGGAUUGGUUGGAACUUUUGGAAAGAUGUUCUAAUUUUUAACGUUUUCUAUGAGUUGCAAUUUGAAGGUGAAAUUUUUUGUGUCUUAGUAAAUUUUGUUUAAGUUUCUUAGUCUUUCUUUUAUUUUCUAGUUUUGUUUUGCUUGAGGACAUGCAAAAUGCUAAGUUUGGGGGUAUUUGAUGAGUCGAUAUUAUACCAUAUAUUUUACCCUAUUCUUGGUUAUAGUUUAUUGGUUGUUUUGGUAGAAUUUUAAUACUUUGUUAUGUAUUUUCAAUGUAGGACAUUUGACUUCCUUUAGAGAAAAAUGUGAUCAAAUGAAUGAAUUUUAGAGUUUUUCCAAUUAGAGGAUGUUCAUGUGCCUUUCAAUAUGAUUGUCUCAAAGUUUUAGAUUUUUCUACCAAGCCGUUUGACCAUGGCGAAGAAAAGAAGGUCCAGCGCGCAGCUUUCCCAUAUUGAUAUUUUUGGAUGUUUUGGGUAUUUUGAAAGUCAAGAUGACAUAUUUUGAGAAAGAUUACUUCUGAGGAUUUGUAGAGGACGUCUUCAUCUUUCAAAAGAGACAUUUUGAGACCAAAUCGGAGUUGAUUUGAUGGGUCAAAAGUCUGAUUUUCUGAGAAGUCCAAAUUUCAGGUCAAAUAGGAAACCUUUUAUUUUGCUAAUUAUCUUAUUUUAUUAUGUUUCCUAGUUUUAGAAGACCUUUUCUAAGUAGGACUUUAUGUUGUAGUAGUAUAAAUAAGGCUUUUUAGCCAUUAGAAUAGGUACGCAUCAAUUUGGGAGAACUUAGUUAGGCUUUGACGUUUUGUAUUUCAAGGUGUUUUCUAUCCUUUUUUCUAUUUGAAUAAAAUUCAUUUUGUUUUACGGUUGUUCAUAACUAAUUUCCAUUUGCUAGGGCGAUGCCUUGAGACUUAGCAUGAAUAUGUAGUCUUUAUUUAAUUGCUUAUGAUAUUAUAGAUACAAACUUUGAAUUAUUAAUCACUGUGUUUAAAUUGUUUCUAUAUCUUAAUGUUUAGCUACCAUUAGGAUGUUUAGAUAAGUAAUCGGAUGCAAUUCGGUCGGAAUGCCACUGGAGGAUUGAGCAUUGCUUCUUGUGAUUGAUAGUUGUAAUUUCACUUAGGGCGAAUGCCACAUUUUUGGGGUUGCAUAGUUUUUCAAAUGGUUUUCACUAAGCGUAAUGAGUCAUGCAUGUUUAUAUUUGAUCUGAAUGCCACAGACAUAUUGCAUGUUUGAUAUACGUUCUAGCCUGAAUGCCACAAGUAGAAUAUGCAUAAGGAAAACCUAACCUUCAAAGUUGCACAUGUGUAAUUCAUAAGUAAUUGGUAAAACUACAUAGGAUUGUUAAGAUGACGGCGGAACCCUAGUACUUUCUCACUUUGAAUUCUAAAAAUUGUUUCCUUUUUCCUUCUUUAAAAUUGCAUAUUUUAGUUAACCCUUUUAACUAAUUUCGUUUUUCUUAAUUUAGGUAAUUAAGUCAACCUUUUCCAAUCUUCGUUUUCAAAUAAUUAACUAAGAUUUUAAUUUUGCAUAAAUUGUUUUAAAUAAUCCCUACGGAAAACGACAUUGCUUGAGCCGUUUAUACUACAACUACCUUAUUCUCUUGCAAGUAUUUUAAGUGUUUUUAUCCCAACUUUUGUAGGUGGUCCAAGUCCCUAUCAGUUUGUACAAUGAGGGGUUACUAUAUUCCAAAAAGCAAGGUUCUAGAAAACUUUUAUUUUUGCCCAGUCACACCUUUUUGAUUUGUAGCUCUUCAGGAGUUAGUAGUUGUACAGACGAGGAUCACUUGCAGUUUCUGACGUUCACUUUCAAUAAUGUAGGAAGUUGUUUAUGUUAUUUUUGUGCAUAUACUCUUUACAUUUCUGCACAUUUAUCAAUGCUCUAACACUGGAUGCAUUGUAAAAAGAGUGUAUCCCACAUUGUGCACUCUUAGUUUACUAUAUUUUGAUAUGAAAAAAG